GAUGAACGCUGGCGGCGUGCCUAACACAUGCAAGUCGAACGGACAUUUUUUGGAAAGUUCUUCGGAACUGGAAUCUAAAUGUUAGUGGCGGACGGGCGAGUAACGCGUGAGCAAUCUGCCUUUCAGAGGGGGAUAACAGCCGGAAACGGACGCUAAUACCGCAUGACAUACGGACAUGGCAUCAUGAUCGUAUCAAAGGAGCAAUCCGCUUUAAGAUGGACCCGCGUCUGAUUAGCUAGUUGGUAAGGUAACGGCUUACCAAGGCAACGAUCAGUAGCCGACCUGAGAGGGUGACCGGCCACAUUGGGACUGAGACACGGCCCAA
rnacentral:rRNA from 1 species